UUUAAAAAAAAUAACGGUUAAAAAAUCAUACAAAAAAUUCGAUUAUAAAAAAGAAAAAUAAGAUAAUAAAAAGCCACUGCAAUUAAAUGCCGGCUCAUUUAAAAUUCAUGGAAUGAAUUCAAACAUGUGCUGAUCCAAUUACAAACAUACGUACAAACCGCCCAUUCGACGACGAAGUUGGUUGAGGAAAAAUACCCCUCAUACAUGUAUGCAUGAGCGGUGCUCGAAACUGACAAAUUACCAUAGCUAUCAGUGGCAAUAACAAAAAAUAAGAACCGCUAUCGCUACAGUUCUAAGUUGGUCUCAAACAACAACAACAACACCGACAUCAACAACAACAAGCUGUAUUUGCUGGUUUUCCAAGUGCCGUCUGUUAAAAUCCACAACAAAUCAGUUGUGUGUAAGUGAGAAAAAAAGUGAAAUAAAAUAUAAAAUAAAUAUAACGGAACCCUCCAUAUAUCAUUGAAAGACAUAGGUGCUAAAUAUUAUUUUUGUUAAAAAUAAAAAAAUACAAAAAGUGUUAAAUACGCCACACAUUACUGUCACCACAGCGGAAAAAAGUCACCAAAUAAGAAUAACAACAACAGAAGCCGCAGCAACAUAGCUUCCAACCCAAAAUCAUUCGGUUACUGUGUCAAUAUUAUUAAUUGCCAACUCAUUUCGAUUUGCUCGAGUGCCAGCCAAUAUUUGGCAACGGAAUACGGCAUUAUUUUGUGCCAUUGACAUCGAUGUCCCGUAACCGACACGCAGACACGUGACAUCUCUCUGCGACUGGCGUUAAACAACUGGAUUAGCCUUUAAUUGAUUUAAUUGCAAG
rnacentral:sRNA from 1 species